GGCCACACUGGGACUGAGACACGGCCCAGACUCCUACGGGAGGCAGCAGUAGGGAAUCUUCCGCAAUGGACGAAAGUCUGACGGAGCAACGCCGCGUGAGCGAUGAAGGCCUUCGGGUCGUAAAGCUCUGUUGUUAGGGAAGAACAAGUACGAGAGUAACUGCUCGUACCUUGACGGUACCUAACCAGAAAGCCCCGGCUAACUACGUGCCAGCAGCCGCGGUAAUACGUAGGGGGCAAGCGUUGUCCGGAAUUAUUGGGCGUAAAGGGCUCGU
rnacentral:rRNA from 1 species